rnacentral:rRNA from 1 species
UACGUAGGCAGCGAGCGUUGUUCGGAAUUACUGGGCGUAAAGAGUGUGUAGGCGGUGCUCUAAGUUCGGUGUGAAAUCUCCCGGCUUAACUGGGAGGGUGCGCCGGAAACUGGAGUGCUCGAACGUGGGAGAGGAAAGCGGAAUUCCUGGUGUAGCGGUGAAAUGCGUAGAUAUCAGGAGGAACACCAGUGGCGAAGGCGGCUUUCUGGACGAUAACUGACGCUGAGACGCGAAAGCGUGGGGAGCAAACAGG